rnacentral:rRNA from 1 species
GAAUGGAUAAGCGCUGAAAGCAUCUAAGCGCGAAGCCAACUUCAAGAUAAGAUUUCCCACCGCAAGGGUAAGACCCCAGAAAGACUAUCUGGUUGAUAGGUCGAAGGUGUAAGUGCAGCAAUGUAUUUAGCUUAUCGAUACUAAUAGGUCGAGGACUUGACCAAUAUUUAUU